UACGUAGGGGGCAAGCGUUGUCCGGAAUUAUUGGGCGUAAAGCGCGUGUAGGCGGCUCGAUAAGUCUGCUGUGAAAGUCCAAGGCUCAACCUUGGAAUGCCGGUGGAUACUGUCGAGCUCGAGUCCGGAAGAGGCGAGUGGAAUUCCCGGUGUAGCGGUGAAAUGCGCAGAUAUCGGGAAGAACACCCGUGGCGAAGGCGGUUCUCUGGGACGGUACUGACGCUGAGACGCGAAAGCGUGGGGAGCGAACAGG
rnacentral:rRNA from 1 species